rnacentral:tRNA from 1 species
GCAGUGGUGGUUGGCUGGUAGAAUUCUUGCUUUCCAUGCAGGAGACCUGGGUUUGACUCCUGGCCAGUACA